AACGAACGCUGGCGGCAUGCCUAACACAUGCAAGUCGAACGAGAUCCUUCGGGGUCUAGUGGCGCACGGGUGCGUAAUGCGUGGGAAUCUGCCCUUAGGUUCGGAAUAACAGUUAGAAAUGACUGCUAAUACCGGAUGAUGACGUUAAGUCCAAAGAUUUAUCGCCUGAGGAUGAGCCCGCGUAGGAUUAGCUAGUUGGUGUGGUAAAGGCGCACCAAGGCGACGAUCCUUAGCUGGUCUGAGAGGAUGAUCAGCCACACUGGGACUGAGACACGGCCCAGACUCCUACGGGAGGCAGCAGUGGGGAAUAUUGGACAAUGGGCGCAAGCCUGAUCCAGCAAUGCCGCGUGAGUGAUGAAGGCCUUAGGGUUGUAAAGCUCUUUUACCCGAGAUGAUAAUGACAGUAUCGGGAGAAUAAGCCCCGGCUAACUCCGUG
rnacentral:rRNA from 1 species